GAGUGUUAAGACUACACGUCCGGUUACCGCACUAAACACCAUAUAUUCCUAUUUGAAUCCAAGUAAAAUGAGUAUAUUUUUCGAGACUCUACCUUUAAUCGGAUAUAUAAAUAGCGCGCUAUAAAUAGCCUACAGAACAGAAUUAUGUCAUCACCUGAGUACUAGUCGAAAUAAUUACACGUUCAUACAUGUAUUGUUUUAUAUUUGUGACGCUGACGGGCAAUCUAAAUGGGGAUAUUGCUCAUAUGAAAAAUAUCACAAUAUAUCCUAGGGUCGCGUCAAAUUAGUUGGACUACUGUUGCUUAUUCAAAGGAGACAUGAUAUUGAACAUUUUGAGAAAUAGCACUGUGGUCAGCAUUUGUCUCACGUGAACUGUGGAGACAUUUGGAUACUGUACCUGAAAGUUCAUCACAAAGUGCUGGUGUUUUGAUAUCUACAAGAGCAGACGGUAACAGAAUUGGAGGUUACCCAAAUCUAAAGAUGUUGAGGAGUACAAGAAACAACAAAAAAGCUAUGAAAAACAAAUGAAAUAAAAACAACGUGAAAUUAUAUUGAAUCAUGGCCCUGGGUUCCAGACCAUUCGACAACAACGAAAAAAAAAAGAUUUUUUUAGCUCACCAGAGCACAGUGCUUAAGGUGAGCUAUUGUGAAUGACCGGCGUCCGUCGGCGUGCGUCUUGCGUAAACAUUUGCCUUGUGAACAUUC
rnacentral:lncRNA from 1 species